rnacentral:rRNA from 1 species
UCGGGAAUUUUGGGCAAUGGGGGAAACCCUGACCCAGCAACGCCGCGUGAAGGAUGAAGUAUUUCGGUAUGUAAACUUCGAAAGAAUAGGAAGAAUAAAUGACGGUACUAUUUAUAAGGUCCGGCUAACUACGUGCCAGCAGCCGCGGUAAUACGUAGGGACCAAGCGUUGUUCGGAUUUACUGGGCGUAAAGGGCGCGUAGGCGGCAUGACAAGUCACUUGUGAAAUCUCUGGGCUUAACCCAGAACGGCCAAGUGAUACUGUCGCGCUAGAGUGCAGAAGGGGCAAUCGGAAUUCUUGGUGUAGCGGUGAAAUGCGUAGAUAUCAAGAGGAACACCUGAGGUGAAGACGGGUUGCUGGGCUGGACACUGACGCUGAGGCGCGAAAGCCAGGGGAGCAAACGGGAUUAGAUACCCGCGUAGUCCCUGAGCGGGCUGGCAAGGCGCAU